CGCGUCCAUCCCCAGCGCCUCGCGGAGGACACGGCUCGAUGCCGGGGUUGCUGAGCCCCGGCCCCCGCUCAGCUCCCUCCAUCCCAGGCUGGUUCUGUCUCCUCGGGGCUCAGGGUAUUUCCAUUUCCCUUCCUGACGCGGAAGGAGGUUUCGGAAUAUCCUUUUCUCAUCGUUCCCGCUCUACCAAUCUCCUUGCUGUCUUAGCAAUGUGUGCAUCCCGAGAACAACCACCCAAGGCCCCAAGCAACAGGAGAGUCUGGAAAUUCCGGGUAUAGACAGGACCCUUGGAGCAUGCUGUGUGGGCACCAGCAGCAUUCUGAAGCCGGGCAGUUAUCACAGCUACCUUCCCUACAGCUGCAACUUUUAAACAUCUGACCCAACCGAAAGGAGCAGUUCUAGAGAGUUCCUGCAAGGGCACAAGCAAAUCUCAUUAAAUCAUAUUUUGACCGUA